UACGUAGGGUGCGAGCGUUAAUCGGAAUUACUGGGCGUAAAGGGCGCGUAGGCGGCCUUCUCAGUCGGACGUGAAUCCCCGGGCUUAACUCGGGAACUGCGUCCGAUACUGGAAGGCUGGAAAUUCGGGGAGAGGGAUGCAGAAUUCCAGGGUGUAGCGGUGAAAAUGCGUAGAUAUCUGGAGGAAUACCGGUGGCGAAGGCGGCAUCCUGGCCGACAUUGACGCUGAGGAGCGAAAAGCUAGGGGAGCAAACGGGG
rnacentral:rRNA from 1 species